GGGGAUGUGCUCAGUGGUAGAGUUCUUGUCUUGCAUGCACAGGGCCCUGGGUUCGAUCCCCACCAUCACCA
rnacentral:tRNA from 1 species